UACGAAGGGGGCUAGCGUUGCUCGGAAUCACUGGGCGUAAAGCGCACGUAGGCGGAUUGCUAAGUCAGGGGUGAAAUCCUGGAGCUCAACUCCAGAACUGCCUUUGAUACUGGCGACCUUGAGUCCGGGAGAGGUGAGUGGAACUGCGAGUGUAGAGGUGAAAUUCGUAGAUAUUCGCAAGAACACCAGUGGCGAAGGCGGCCAACUGGUCCGGUACUGACGCUGAGGUGCGAAAGCGUGGGUAGCAAACAGG
rnacentral:rRNA from 1 species